rnacentral:lncRNA from 1 species
UGUAGAUUCAUAAAAUUCAUAAUUCUCAUAGCAAAUAUCCAUCAAAUGAAACUCAAAUGUAAUUUAGCCAUCCUAAUUAAGUGCCAAGACUAAACUGUCCAUGAUCUAGAGUCCAGUCGAGCUAGUUCUUUGGAUCCUACAAUCAAGAAAUAAAAAAAUAGUUCUAUUUAAUGAGUCCAACAUAACAUACGCCAUACAAUUUUUCUAGACCCAUUGUUAAAAAGAACUAUUGCUAGACUAACUGGAGUAAUACUGUGUCAGCAAGCAUGUAACUGAGGGAUCAGAACAGUUUUAGAAGUGUAAAUGUCUAAAGCAUAAACACAAGUACAUGUACUAAAAGCUUCACCUAUUGAUUUAAGUUGUGACUCAAUCUAUAGUUUCAGUUAAGUUCAUGUCCCUAGCUAGCACAUAUUCGUUUUGUGUAAGCUGUGACUCGAUGCAGCAACAACAUAUGGUGAAAGAGAAGAAGCAGCUAGUUAAUUAGGAAGGCCAAUGACGUAAGUAUAAAAUGCAGGUGAACAUAAAGAGAAAGCAAUGUUCUGACUUACCAUUGCUUCAAACAUUUGAGAAUUCUUUGUUGCAGCUUGUAUGAGCGCAUUUGGAGAAAAAACAAUUAGCUUUUCACCUUGAGUCUUAUUAGGACUAGAUCUCUGUAAAAGAGUAUUUUGCAAGUUUGUACUACUAUUUUCUUUCUCAACCCUCUUCGUAGUCACCUUCAAAUAGAAGUGCACUUUUAGCAAUGUACUAGUAAAUGUGCAUGUGCAAUGCAUGUCUUGACUAAUACUUCCUCCGUCCCAAAAUUCUUUUCUUAGAUUUGUCUAGAUACAGAUGUAUCUAAUACUAAAACGUGACUUGAUACAUCCGUAUUUAGACAAAUCUAAGACAAGAAUUUUGGGAUGGAGCGAGUAUUACAAUCAUAUGUGAAACUUCACUUGUGUAUGUAUUCAACGUGCACCAUUGAAUUAAUCAUGUGAAAUCAGCAAAUAUACAGUAAACUUUACAAAUCGAUCUAGCAGAAGAUCAAACAUUACCCUGGUCAUAGCGAAGUUUCAGCUUGUAGUGUAGCAAGUUCUUCAUCUUCAGCUGUAGCUUUCUGUGGAGCAGGGAGAAUUGCUUGCUUAUUUACAAGACACACACUGCUACCUCCAAUUCUUCAAGUUCCUCCUUUGGUUAAUCCUGCACAUUUUGUGCAAUAGUAUUAAUGAUAGGUGACUCAGCUAAAACAACGAAACGGAAGAUUGUAAUAAAUCUUAAAUAUUACCUUGUUCAAAUUAGCAAAAGCAAGAGGAUCUGACAAUGCAUCAUGAAUUUGUUUCAUAUGUCCAGUCAGUUUGUUAAUUCCACCCAUAUCUUUUCAACGCACCAAUAUUUCAUCAAUAUGCAUGUAGCAAUCAAAAUAUCUAAUUUGCAAGGCUGAAAAGCUACACAUGAAGCAUUUGCAAGACAGUGACCACAGUAAUGGUAUGCAUGGGAACGAAAUUGGAGAUUACAGUGACAGAGCAUAAAAUAAAGUAGUUGGGCGCAAGAGAAAAGCUCCACAUACAGUGAGAUGGCUCAUACGUCCAUAAGACUACAUGGUGUUUGUUUGGAUCAACUAUUUUUCCAAUCGACAAAGCCCACGUCCAAAAUCAAAAAUAUCAAGAUGUAUUGACAAUUAUCGAACUUGCAAGAUAUAUUCUUUAAGCUUGAUUUGUUCAAAACCAUCUUAAACUUUCAUAAAUCGGAAAAGGCGGGUGGAUUUCCUACUAUGAUAAAUAAAGAAUGGAAAAAAUAUAUAAUGAUAAUUUUGUAUCCCUGGUUACUUCCAAACACUAAAUUAAGAACAGAGACACGUAAUUACCAAGUAUUUUACAAGAUCCAUGAUUAUUUCCUCAUACAGUAAAAUAGCAAUGGAGACAACAACUAAUGAGUAAUGACCAAGGGUCUUUUCAAAACAUCCUGCAUCCGAAUAAAUCAUCAACACUAACCAAGGGCCUGAUGCUGCUC